rnacentral:rRNA from 1 species
GAAUUUUGGACAAUGGGCGAAAGCCUGAUCCAGCAAUGCCGCGUGCAGGAUGAAGGCCUUCGGGUUGUAAACUGCCUUUGUACGGAACGAAAAGCUGUGUGUUAAUACCCUGCAGUCAUGACGGUACCUUAAGACUAAGCACCGGCUAACUACGUCCACGCAGCCGCGGUAAUACGUAGGGGGCAAGCGUUAAUCGGAAAUACUGGGCGUAAAGCGUGCGCAGGGGGUUUUGUAAGACAGAGGUGAAAUCCCGGGGCUCAAACUGGGAACUGCCUUUGUGACUGCAAGGCUAGAGUACGGCAGAGGGGAGUGGAAUUCCGCGUGUAGCAGUGAAAUGCGUAGAUAUGCGGAGGAACACCGAUGGCGAAGGCAACCCCCUGGGCCUGUACUGACGCUCAUGCACGAAAGCGUGGGGAGCAAACA